AGAGAGGCCCCUAGGUAACAGGGGCGAGGAAAAACUCACAAGAAUUGGAGAAACAUAUAGGAUGAAACCUCAAGCAGAUCCACGACUCAAGGGCCUGACCCAUCUGCCUGGGGUCAGUUACAGGACAGUAAGGUCUAUAUACAGAGAAUAGAACAUGGUAUUUAGAGCCACCUGAGGUAUAUGUUACAAGGUGGUUGGAUGGUUA